AGAGAAACUCCCAUCACCUUCAACACCAACAUGUUCUCUGUAGCUCUGCUGCUGCUGCUGGCUGCUACUGCUGCAUCCUGGGUGACAUGUGAACAGCUGACACAGCCGGCCUCUUUGACUGUGCAGUCAGGCCAGCCUCUGACCAUCACAUGUCAGGUCUCUUAUUCUUUCUACAGCUACUAUGCAGCUUGGAUCAGACAACCUGCUGGAAAAGGACUGGAGUGGAUUGGUAUUAAAAGUAUUUAUAACACAUUCUACCAAGAGUCACUGAAGAACAAGUUCAGUAUUGUCUUAGACUCUUCCAGUAAAACAGCAACUCUGAACGGACAGAAUAUGCAGCCUGGAGACUCUGCUGUGUAUUACUGUGCCAGAUGGAAUGACUAUGACACACUGUGAUACAAACAAGCAGCAGAGCUGUACAAAAACUCUUUGCAUGUGAAAAACACAGAGGAGAAACUAUUAGACAACUGAAUAUUUUAAUCCUGCUCAGAACAACAACCAUAAAUAGUUGUGGUUGCAAAUAAAUGCAAAUAAA